CUUAGUACGGCGAGUGAGCGGCAAAAGCUCAAAUUUGAAAUCUGGUACCUUCGGUGCCCGAGUUGUAAUUUGGAGAGGGCAACUUUGGGGCCGUUCCUUGUCUAUGUUCCUUGGAACAGGACGUCAUAGAGGGUGAGAAUCCCGUGUGGCGAGGAGUGCGGUUCUUUGUAAAGUGCCUUCGAAGAGUCGAGUUGUUUGGGAAUGCAGCUCUAAGUGGGUGGUAAAUUCCAUCUAAAGCUAAAUAUUGGCGAGAGACCGAUAGCGAACAAGUACAGUGAUGGAAAGAUGAAAAGAACUUUGAAAAGAGAGUGAAAAAGUACGUGAAAUUGUUGAAAGGGAAGGGCAUUUGAUCAGACAUGGUGUUUUGUGCCCUCUGCUCCUUGUGGGUAGGGGAAUCUCGCAUUUCACUGGGCCAGCAUCAGUUUUGGUGGCAGGAUAAAUCCAUAGGAAUGUAGCUUGCCUCGGUAAGUAUUAUAGCCUGUGGGAAUACUGCCAGCUGGGACUGAGGACUGCGACGUAAGUCAAGGAUGCUGGCAUAAUGGUUAUAUGCCGCCCGUCUUGA
rnacentral:rRNA from 1 species